UACAGGGGGGGCAAGCGUUGUUCGGAAUUACUGGGCGUAAAGGGCCAGUAGGCGGCCAACUAAGUCCGACGUGAAAUCCCCAAGCUUAACUUGGGAACUGCGUCGGAUACUGGAUGGCUUGAAUUCGGGAGAGGGAUGCAGAAUUCCAGGUGUAGCGGUGAAAUGCGUAGAUAUCUGGAGGAACACCGGUGGCGAAGGCGGCUACCUGGACAGAAACUGACGCUGAGGCGCGAAAGCUAGGGGAGCAAACAGG
rnacentral:rRNA from 1 species